UCCUAUGUAGCUCAGUCAGUAAAGCAUUUGCCUGCAAUGCAGGAGACCUGGGUUCAAUUUCUGGGUCAGGAA
rnacentral:tRNA from 1 species